CAGGGGCGGGCGGCGGGCGGUCCGCAGGAGCCGAGGGCGGUCGUGCGGCCCGAGGACGGGGCUGAGCCUGCCCCGAGGAGAGCCCCCCACGGCGCAGCGCGGUGGCGCCGACGGCUCUCCGCGCAGGAAGGACGCGGGGACUUGAAUGGUGCGAAGUCACUCCGGCGCCACUGCAAGAAACGGACCCGAGGGGAGGCUCCUGCUCGCGGGUGGGGGCAGGGGGUCGGCGCGACCUCGGCGGCGUGCGCGGCGGCGUCUGAGAGGCUGAGCCGUCGGGGACGGAGGGGAAAGCGGAGACGCGCGUCACGGGUGGCCGGGCGGACCGGACUCGGUUCAUUCCGGGGACCAAGGUGUGCACUUGACUGAGGUACAGCAGCAGGAGAAUUGUGUUCGUAUUUUGUCUAAAGUCCAGGAAGAAAACACAGUUCGUUUCCUGGAUUUAGACCCACCGUGGCCCUGGGCUGAAUCCUGGCUGGAGCCAUCUAGAAGCAGGCAAGGGCCUCGCUGCUCUAACGGCGGGAGGAGCGGGGCGGCCGGGGCAAGUGUCCCCGGAGCGUAAGGUCGGCGGGCGGGGGGUGUUAUCGGACAAGGGCCGGGGCCAGCCGGGACAGAAGCACCGCGGGGCAGCCCUGGGACACCCGACGGGAAAACAGCAGGUGAGGGAGGAGAGCGCAGGCCUUGCGGGCCUCCGGGGCCAGAGACCGGCCUCGCCCCCAGGAAGCUUUCUGGUGAAGGGCGCGCGGGCCGCCGAGCGGAUGGAGGGUGCAGAGCGGGACCUCUCCAUCUCGCUCCUUCUGCGCGGGGGAAGCAGCCUGCGGCAGCUGCACACCCCCAGCCGGGGGCGGCCGGACCUGGCACGAGGGAAAACACCGACCCAAGUGCGGUGCUGUCCAGAUACUAACCUGCGCUGUUGACUUGUCAUCACAAAUCAGACGACUCUGACCCACGCAUUAGCAAAGUUUCUGUGUGCAGAGGACUGCUAUAAAGAACUGUAAGCAUGAACUGUGAAUUGUGAUUAUCUACUCCAGAGUCCGACAUUAACUUCUGAUCCGCGCCUGAUGACUUCCAGGAGUUUUUCAAUGUAGGUUAUGAGGAGAUCCUGGGUUCAGCAGCUUUUUGAUGUCCAUCCUCAUGCUUCUAAGUGAUCACUUCCUGCAUCCAACACCAACAACACAAUUGUCAAAAAGACCUGCGUGUGCAAGUGAGAGUUCCCAAAGAAGGUCUAAAGGGUAUCUGGUCCUAAUAAAUGCUAAUAGCAAGUGCUCUGUGAAAGGAAGUACCUUAAUUAGAAAGUUGAAUUUCAGGGCAACUGGGUGGUUCAGUCAGUUAAGCAACAGGGUUUGGCUCAGGUCAUGAUCUCAGGGACUUGGGAUUGAGUCCCCACUGGGCUCUCUGCUCAGCGGGAAGCCGGCUCCCUCCAUCAGCCAUUCCUCCCUCUGCUCGCUCUCUUUCUCUCUCUCUCAAAUAAAU